ACCUUAAAUUUUUUUCUAGAAGUAUUAAAAUUUAGUUAAAGCAAGAUGAAGUCUUUUCCCAUGAAUGUGUCCCUUUAUCUCAUUAUAGCUUAUGCUCAGUUUCACUUUCUUGGAAAGGUUAAAACAAAUUAGCCUGGCACUUUAGGUAACUUGAAAAUAACUCUCACCCUUCUGGCUGCCUUCCAUCCACUCUCACCCCACACCUUUUUUUAAUAUAUAUACACCCUUACAGAUUUUCUAACAACCAAAUAAAAUUCUAGCAAUAAAUUGAAUUAUACUGCUAUAUUUGUAUAUACUGUACCAUAAAUAGUAUGUCUGUACCUGGAAAGUAUUUUUUUGAGAACUGAUUUAUAUGAAAUAUACUUAAGGGUAAUGUAGCUUGUCCUUUUUAGUUUCAAAUUCUUAUUCAAAGGCAGAUAUUUUGAAGACACCUUAACUCUUUGUUGUGUGUACUUUUCCCUUGCAUCAGAUAGCUAUACGUGAAGAAAUCCAUUUUGUUUUUUGGUUUAUCUUCUGUUCUUCCUACCUUGUGCUUGUCUGACUAGUAUCACCCCUGAGCCAGUAUACAGUACCAUCCUCUCCCCCUACCAAGUUUGGCAGAGGUGUUUAUACUGCAUUCUCAGAUCUAUGAACAUUUUUGUCAUCCUGCCUGAGAAAGUACCAUAUCUUCCAGGCAAAAGUAGGGUAUCUUGAACUCCUUUCUUCUGAGUUGAGCACACUGGCUUAAGCAUCCCAUAAGCCUAUUAUUUAGUGUGAAUUUGGGACUUUUAUUUGUAUGUUGUCUUAACUUACUGAGCCUGUGACUUGUAUUUAGCUGUAGUCAAGCCUUACCAGCCAUAUCUCAUCUCUGAGAGGAAGACUGGAUAGUGAGUUUGGUUUUGGUUUUGGUUUUAAAUCCUUUUACCUUUUCAGUCUGGCAGCUCCUACUGCUGCUUUCCUAAGUUACUCAAAGCACUGCUUCUUGGUCCUUGUUUUCUUUUGCCUUGUACUAUCUUGUAUAAUGUUUACUAAAAGAGCCUCCCCAUAAAUCAGAGAGGCAAAAAGGUAGCAUAUAAAAAGAAGAACCAAAAGAAGAGAAAACCUGACUUCCAGAUGACUGUGGUGUCAUCUAAAAGGUAGAGAGGUGCCUGACCCUCAGGAAUGUGUAUGAUGCAACAGAGCUGAAGAAUGGGUUCCCUUCACCUACUGCUGGCCAUUGUCUCUUCUGUUGGAGAUUCCUUUCUUUAUGGUUGCUGUUCAUAACUCCUUCAGCACCCCCCCUUGCUGGUCCUGCCGGUCACAGUUGAGGAUUUUGGCUGUGAUGGGCUCAUACUCAUAAUGGCCUGUUGAGUUGUUUUUAGUGACAGGUUUUGUUUGCUGCACAGCUCAUUGGCUUGCUUACCAAUACCAGCUAGAAGUGGUCCCUCUUUCAUAUCCAAACCAGAACACAUUUGGGUAUUCCUGAGACUUUAUAGAGCGUGUAUUGUUUGUUAUACGAACCUAACCUAUCUUGUUGUUUUCUCAUAUUAAGAAAUUUAAAUCUACUUUGUUUUAGUGAAGCUAUUUUGGUAAUGUAUAAGCAAUUUUGGUUCUGUUAGGGAGAAUUCAGGGUUUCCAUGACUUGAUUUGAGCUUUGCAUAUUUCAUAUAAGUAACACAGCCAUUUAGCUAAAUAAAAAAAUUUCUUUUUC
rnacentral:lncRNA from 1 species